rnacentral:tRNA from 1 species
GCCCUGGCUCAGUGGAUAGAGCAUUGAUCUGCAGACUCAAGGGUUCUAGGUUCGAUUCCAGUCAAGGGCA